UAAGUUCCAUUUUUUAUUGGAUUCUUUACUGUUAGCAUAGAUUGUCAUCAUUUCAGCCCUUUUGCUGUGAAUUAUUUCCGGAUUUUGUUGCACUGUUAGGUCAAGUUGUGGGGGUUCCUUUAUUUAUUUCAUUUUCUGUCAUUUUCUCUCAUUUUGGGGAUGCAUCUCUCUAUUCUGUGUAUUGUUCUUUGUUUUAAGGUCAGUUUUCUUCUUCUUUUCUUUUCUUUUGUUUUUUUGGGUUUUUCUUUUGUGGGCUUUCAGUGAGUUGAUAUUUUCAUUUUCCGUUUUGCUGUGAAUUUUCUUCAAUUUGAUCGAACAUCUCGAUACGAACAGUUGAUUUUCAAUUUAUCUUUAAUUUUCUAGAGGCCUGUUGGUUGCAUGUACAAGAAAUACUUUUAUAUUAUGUUUCAAUUUCAAAGUUGUUUGAUAUAUGACCUUUAGUUUGUAUUCUUAUAUGGAAUUGUGCAAGGUUGCCACUCUUUGCCCCCUUUCGAUUGUGAUCGAGUUUAUUGUUUUGUUCUUUCUUAUUGUAAAUGUCAUUUUGUUUGUAAAGUUUAGUUUAUAAACUGUACUUCUAUUUACUCUUUAAAUUUAUUUUUUGUUUAUGUUGUCGUUUCUUGAUUUUAGUUUCUGUGGAUUUAUAUGGUUCUGAUUACAGAAAGUAUUGUCAUUGGACAAAAACUCUUACAAGCAAGCCGCAAAUCUGUUCAAAGAAACGAAGAUCUGUUAAUAUCAAAUACGUCAGCCAUUGGCAAUGGAAUAAAAGUUGGGUCGUGGGAGGAAGAAGCUGGUUCGUUGCCAUUUUUAGGUAUAUAAUCAUGUGCCCUGAUAGCAUAUUCAAAGCCUAUUUAGUUAUAUGGAUUUUUUAUUUAUCUUUCUAAAACUUUUGUGCCUAGAUUUUAAAUAUGUGAUUGGUAAUUUCUUA